rnacentral:rRNA from 1 species
AGUGAACGCUGGCGGUAGGCCUAACACAUGCAAGUCGAACGGCGGCACAGUAAGAGCUUGCUCUUACGGGUGGCGAGUGGCGGACGGGUGAGGAAUACAUCGGAAUCUACUUUUUCGUGGGGGAUAACGUAGGGAAACUUACGCUAAUACCGCAUACGACCUACGGGUGAAAGCAGGGGAUCUUCGGACCUUGCGCGAUUGAAUUAGCCGAUGUCGGAUUAGCUAGUUGGCGGGGUAAAGGCCCACCAAGGCGACGAUCCGUAGCUGGUCUGAGAGGAUGAUCAGCCACACUGGAACUGAGACACGGUCCAGAAUCCUACGGGAGGCAGCAGUGGGGAAUAUUGGACAAUGGGCGCAAGCCUGAUCCAGCCAUACCGCGUGGGUGAAGAAGGCCUUCGGGUUGUAAAGCCCUUUUGUUGGGAAAGAAAAGCAGCAGGUUAAUACCCCGCUGUUCUGACGGUACCCAAAGAAUAAGCACCGGCUAACUUCGUG